AGCGAAACGGUAACAGCCCAAACCAAGGGGCUUGCCCCUUGGGGUUGUAGGACACUCUANACGGAGUUACAAAGAAACGAAGUAGACGAAGCGAUCUGGAAAGGUCCGCGAAACAAGGUAACAGCCCUGUAAUCGAAACUUCGUUUCCUCCAGAGUGUAUCCUGAGUACGGCGGGACACGUGAAACCCCGUCGGAAUCCGGGAGGACCAUCUCCCAAGGCUAAAUACUUCCUAGUGACCGAUAGUGAACCAGUACCGUGAGGGAAAGGUGAAAAGCACCCCGGGAGGGGAGUGAAAGAGAUCCUGAAACCGUGUGCCUACAAGUAGUNGAAGUAGACGAAGCGAUCUGGAAAGGUCCGCGAAACAAGGUAACAGCCCUGUAAUCGAAACUUCGUUUCCUCCAGAGUGUAUCCUGAGUACGGCGGGACACGUGAAACCCCGUCGGAAUCCGGGAGGACCAUCUCCCAAGGCUAAAUACUUCCUAGUGACCGAUAGUGAACCAGUACCGUGAGGGAAAGGUGAAAAGCACCCCGGGAGGGGAGUGAAAGAGAUCCUGAAACCGUGUGCCUACAAGUAGUUGGAGCUCGUUUAUGAGUGACAGCGUGCCUUUUGUAGAAUGAACCGGCGAGUUACGAUUACGUGCAAGGUUAAGCUGAUGAGGCGGAGCCGCAGCGAAAGCGAGUCUGAAUAGGGCGAAUGAGUACGUGGUCGUAGACCCGAAACCGUGUGAUCUACCCAUGUCCAGGGUGAAGUUCAGGUAACACUGAAUGGAGGCCCGAACCCACGCACGUUGAAAAGUGCGGGGAUGAGGUGUGGGUAGGGGUGAAAUGCCAANNNNNNGGGAUGAGGUGUGGGUAGGGGUGAAAUGCCAAUCGAACUCGGAGAUAGCUGGUUCUCCCCGAAAUAGCUUUAGGGCUAGCCUCGAGGNAAGAGUAUUGGAGGUAGAGCACUGAUUGGACUAGGGGUCCCCACAGGAUUACCGAAUUCAGUCAAACUCCGAAUGCCAAAUACUUAUCCUCGGGAGUCAGACUGCGAGUGCUAAGAUCCGUAGUCAAGAGGGAAACAGCCCAGACCAUCAGCUAAGGUCCCCAAGUAUACGUUAAGUGGAGAAGGAUGUGGAGUUGCCCAGACAACCAGGAUGUUGGCUUAGAAGCAGCCACCAUUUAAAGAGUGCGUAAUAGCUCACUGGUCGAGUGACUCUGCGCCGAAAAUGUACCGGGGCUAAACGUAUCACCGAAGCUAUGGAUUGCGCACCUGGUGUGCAGUGGUAGGGGAGCGUUCUAAGUGCUGUGAAGUCAGACCGGAAGGACUGGUGGAGCGCUUAGAAGUGAGAAUGCCGGUAUGAGUAGCGAAAAGAGGGGUGAGAAUCCCCUCCGUCGAAAGCCCAAGGUUUCCUGAGGAAGGCUCGUCCGCUCAGGGUAAGUCGGGACCUAAGCCGAGGCUGAAAAGCGUAGGCGAUGGACAACAGGUUGAAAUUCCUGUACCACCUCCUCACCGUUUGUCCCAUUUGGGGCAGUAAGUAAUGGGGGGACGCAGAAAGGUAGGGUAAGCGCACUGAUGGAUAUGUGCGUCCAAGCAGUUAGGCCAAGAAGUAGGCAAAUCCGCUUCUCGUGAAGGCUGAGCUGUGAUGGCGAGCGAAAUGUAAGUAGCGAAGUUCCUGAUCCUACACUGCCAAGAAAAGCCUCUAGCGAGGUGAGAGGUGCCCGUACCGCAAACCGACACAGGUAGGCGAGAAGAGAAUUCUAAGACGCUCGGGAGAACUCUCGUUAAGGAACUCGGCAAAAUGACCCCGUAACUUCGGGAGAAGGGGUGCUCUGAUAGGGUGAAUAGCCCGAGAGAGCCGCAGUGAAUAGAUCCAAGCGACUGUUUAGCAAAAACACAGGUCUCUGCGAAGCCGCAAGGCGAAGUAUAGGGGCUGACACCUGCCCGGUGCUGGAAGGUUAAGAGGAGGGGUUAUCCUUUGGGAGAAGCUCUGAAUUGAAGCCCCAGUAAACGGCGGCCGUAACUAUAACGGUCCUAAGGUAGCGAAAUUCCUUGUCGGGUAAGUUCCGACCCGCACGAAUGGUGUAACGAUUUGGAUACUGUCUCAACGAGAGACCCGGUGAAAUUAUAUUACCUGUGAAGAUGCAGGUUACCCGCGACAGGACGGAAAGACCCCAUGGAGCUUUACUGUAGCUUGAUAUUGGAUUUUGGUACAGUUUGUACAGGAUAGAGUAAUCGCGGAUCAGCAUGCCGCGGUGAAUACGUUCCCGGGCCUUGUACACACCGCCCGUCACACCACGAGAGUUUGUAACACCCGAAGUCGGUGGGGUAACCUUUUGGAGCCAGCCGCCUAAGGUGGGACAGAUGAUUGGGGUGAAGUCGUAACAAGGUAGCCGUAUCGGAAGGUGCGGCUGGAUCACCUCCUUUCUAUGGAGUAAUACUCUAGUCGAUGCUUUUCUUUAGUGAAAAGUACCGCUUGAAGCUGUGUUUCAGUUUUGAAGGAAUAAUCCUUCGAAAAAACGAUAUAUAAAUGUUAUUAAGGAUGAGACAGUGAUCCUUAUUUUUAUAUGAUUUUUUUGUGGGCCUAUAGCUCAGCUGGUUAGAGCGCACGCCUGAUAAGCGUGAGGUCGGUGGUUCGAGUCCACUUAGGCCCACCAUACAAUUUUAAAUUUAGGGGCCUUAGCUCAGCUGGGAGAGCGCCUGCCUUGCACGCAGGAGGUCAGCGGUUCGAUCCCGCUAGGCUCCACCAA
rnacentral:rRNA from 1 species